CCCCCCGCCGCCCGCCGCCCGGCCUCGGCCGCGCUGGAUGUGUGCGCGGCGCUGGCGCUCGGCCGCCGCCAGCUGCUGCUCUCGUACGGAUUUGGGUCCCGUGCAUCCGCUUUCAGACUUUCGCGAGGAACCGAGGACAGACUUGCGGACGCAGCCCGGUCGGAGUUGGGCGUUUUCUCUUCGUGUGUUUGGCCGCUUUUUUCCCCCUGGUCUCUGCCGAUCCCCCAUCGUGAGCCCUGCUAAGGAACCAAACCAUGAACUUGGGGCUGACAGGACCGCUUAACCCUUUGCGACCAGGCAUCAGAUGCCAGCUCUGAAAAGCUCUUCAAUACUGUUAUUGUAAACAAAGGUAAGACACCUUCGUUCUGAGCAAUGGCUGAUUUUUGUAUUUGUUUCAUUGUCAUUGCCUAGAAAAUCAGAAUAAAAAACAAACGGCCUUUCAUUUUUCACUCUGGAGCCACGAUUCACCCUGUGUGUUUUUUGCCUGAGACAGAUUCUGUAUGCUUUGGUGUUGUAUUCCAGAAUGGUUUCUUUUUGAAGAAUACGCUGAAUCCUUAUUUAAAUUGCUUUGACUAAGAAAUCACUGCUAUCUAUGUGAGUUUAAUUUAAUGCAGGAAGCGGUAAUGGAGAAUAAUAGUUCUCAAAAUGCCUUCACUUUAUUGUUACUUAUCAACUACCCCGCAGUCGGAGAACUAUAAAUAGAACUAUAAAUAGCUGAUUCGUCCUGCAGACCCUGAUAACCAGUGGAUGUUUAGUACGCACUGGCUUAUGGUCAUAAACCAAGCCUCAGUCUGCUGUGGGCUUUCUGAGAAGUUCAUAAAUGAGCAAGAGGGCAAAACUUAAAUAUGUGCUGUCCCAUUAAUUUCUUCCAAACUGCAAUAUCAGACUAAGACGGGCUAAUGAUGUAACAGUGCAUUAAGGGAAAACCUGUCCUCGAUCACUACAGUUUUCAUUUGUAGCAGUGUUGUUGGAAAUCACGGAAUCGAAGGGAGUCUCCCCAAUCACUGCCUUCGCAAAGGUGUAUAAUUGGAAAGGUAUAAAUUACAUACACUGAGUGACUUUCUCCCCUUCGCUGUGGAACCUGAUUUGGGUGCUUGCAUGGUCGGUACUAAAUACAGACGGGGUGCUGUCUGUGGUAGUCUCCUGCUGUUGUUACCUGGGACCAGUACUUGGUACAAGUUACAGAGUGGGGCCUCCCUGGAGUGGAGGAAUUUGAAGCCACUUCCACAUCCGCUUAGUUGCCUUGGCCAGCAUUUUUGCAAGCUGGGUUCAGUAAGACACAUUUCCAAGUGCCGGGUUUUUGGUUGUGUUUUUGUUUUUUGUUAUUUGUUUUGUUUUUUUGUUGUUGUUUUUUUUUUUUUGAGCUCCCAGAUUAUUUCAGAAUUUGAACCCAACUGCCAUUUUAAAUAGUACAUUAUGUUUAGAGUUCCCUUGAGGUGUCGAUGCUAGUGUGAUGGCUGCUACUCCCAGAAUUAUUGUCACAUUGAGUUUUUAUCUUUUUUAUGGCAUGAUGGAUGGAGUAUUCCGGUUUUAUAUGUCAUCAUAUUUUUUGAUGGACUGGAAGUUUGUAUAAAUUUGCUAUCCAUGAGGCUAAAAGCCCAAUAAAAGAAGAUGCUUGUGGUUCAUAGCA